GAUGAACGCUGGCGGCGUGCCUAACACAUGCAAGUCGAGCGAUUCUCUUCGGAGAAGAGCGGCGGACGGGUGAGUAGCGCGUGGGUAACCUGCCCUGUACACACGGAUAACAUACCGCAAGGUAUGCUAAUACGAGAUAAUAUGCUUUUAUCGCAUGGUAGAAGUAUCAAAGCUCCGGCGGUACAGGAUGGACCCGCGUCUGAUUAGCUAGUUGGUAAGGUAACGGCUUACCAAGGCGACGAUCAGUAGCCGACCUGAGAGGGUGAUCGGCCACAUUGGAACUGAGACACGGUCCAAACUCCUACGGGAGGCAGCAGUGGGGAAUAUUGCACAAUGGGCGAAAGCCUGAUGCAGCAACGCCGCGUGAGCGAUGAAGGCCUUCGGGUCGUAAAGCUCUGUCCUCAAGGAAGAUAAUGACGGUACUUGAGGAGGAAGCCCCGGCUAACUACGUGCCAGCCGCCGCCGUAA
rnacentral:rRNA from 1 species